rnacentral:rRNA from 1 species
UAUGUAGGGGGCAAGCGUUGUCCGGAUUCAUUGGGCGUAAAGAGCGUGUAGGCGGCCAGGUAGGUCGGUUGUGAAAACUGGAGGCUCAACCUUCAGAGGUCGACCGAAACCAUCUGGCUAGAGUCCGGGAGAGGAGAGUGGAAUUCCUGGUGUAGCGGUGAAAUGCGCAGAUAUCAGGAGGAACACCGAUGGCGAAGGCAGGUCUCUGGGCAUUAACUGACGCUGAGGAGCGAAAGCAUGGGGAGCGAACAGG